GAUGAACGCUGGCGGCGUGCCUAACACAUGCAAGUCGAACGAACUAAUUUAAAGGAAGUCUUCGGAUGGAAUUUAGAUUAGUUAGUGGCGGACGGGUGAGUAACGCGUGGGAAACCUGCCCUAUACAGGGGGAUAGCCUCGGGAAACUGGGAUUAAUACCCCAUAAAACUCUAGUAUCGCAUGAUACAUGGGUCAAAGAUUUAUCGGUAUAGGAUGGUCCCGCGUCUGAUUAGCUAGUUGGUGAGGUAACGGCUCACCAAGGCGACGAUCAGUAGCCGGCCUGAGAGGGUGAACGGCCACACUGGAACUGAGACACGGUCCAGACUCCUACGGGAGGCAGCAGUGGGGAAUAUUGCACAAUGGGGGAAACCCUGAUGCAGCGACGCCGCGUGAGCGAAGAAGGCCUUCGGUCGUAAAGCUCUGUCCUAAGGGAAGAAAGGACGGUACCUUAGGAGGAAGCCCGGCUAACCUACGUGCCACGCAGCCGCGGUAUAGUCACGUCGA
rnacentral:rRNA from 1 species